UGGGGAAUAUUGGACAAUGGGCGAAAGCCUGAUCCAGCAAUGCCGCGUGUGUGAAGAAGGCCUUCGGGUUGUAAAGCACUUUUAUCAGGAGCGAAAUACUGCCGGCUAAUACCCGGCGGGGCUGACGGUACCUGAGGAAUAAGCACCGGCUAACUUCGUGCCAGCAGCCGCGGUAAUACGAAGGGUGCAAGCGUUAAUCGGAAUUACUGGGCGUAAAGCGUGCGUAGGCGGUUCUUUAAGUCUGCUGUGAAAUCCCCGGGCUCAACCUGGGAAUGGCAGUGGAUACUGGAGAGCUAGAGUGUGAUAGAGGAUGGUGGAAUUCUCGGUGUAGCGGUGAAAUGCGUAGAGAUCGGGAGGAACAUCAGUGGCGAAGGCGGCCAUCUGGAUCAACACUGACGCUGAGGCACGAAAGCGUGGGGAGCAAAC
rnacentral:rRNA from 1 species